AUCAUGGCACAAUGGGUUGGCGCACCUGGCUGUUAAGCAGAAGGUUGGUGGUUCAAGCCCACUCAGGGAUA